rnacentral:rRNA from 1 species
UUGGUUGAUCCUGCCAGUAGUGUAUGCUUCUCCUAAAGACUAAGCCAUGCAUGCCUUCGAAUACGAGGAAGCAAUUCUCUCUGAAUCUGCGAACGGCUCCGCAAACCAGUUGUAAACUAUAGCAAGCAGGCUCGGGGUCGGCUCUCACGGGUUGGCUUCGGGCGAUAUGGAUAACCCUGGUAAUUCUGAGGCUAAUACAUGAACGUAAAACCUGGUUGACUGGGCUUCGGUCUGGGAGGCUGGGGGAUGUGUGAUUGCAGGCUUGGGUAACACCGGGAAAGGGCGCACGUCCAGACCGCGCUAUAAAGGAUGGGACCUCUUCGGGGGACCCGCCCCAGCGGCUCUUGCUGUGUGCUUCUGACCUAUCAACUAGACGGCAGCGUAAGGGACAUGCUAUGGUGACAACGGGUACAGAGGAUUAGGGUUCGAUCCUGGAGAGUGGGCCUGAGAGAUUGCUCAU